rnacentral:rRNA from 1 species
UGGAGCAUGUGGUUUAAUUCGAUGAUACGCGAAGAACCUUACCGGGGUUUGACAUGCAGGUGAUCGCCGUUGAAAGACGGGUUUUCCCUCUUUCGGAGGCACCUGCACAGGUGCUGCAUGGCUGUCGUCAGCUCGUGUCGUGAGAUGUUGGGUUAAGUCCCGCAACGAGCGCAACCCUUAUCCCUAGUUGCCAUCAGGUAAAGCUGGGAACUCUGGGGAGACUGCCGGUGAUAAAUCGGAGAAGCGGGGAUGACGUCAAGUCCUCAUGGCCCUUACAUCCCGGGCUACACACGUGCUACAAUGGCAGGUACAGAGGGCUGCGAAGCCGCGAGGUGGAGCGAAUCCCAGAAAACCUGUCUCAGUCCGGAUUGAAGUCUGCAACUCGACUUCAUGAAGGCGGAAUCGCUAGUAAUCGUGGAUCAGAAUGUCACGGUGAAUACGUUCCCGGGUCUU